AAAGACACUUAAAUGGGUCCCAAGAAAAAAGGAAAAAAGAAUAUUGUGAUGUGUAGGGCAAGACAAGAACUAGAUGGUCUAAGGACAAGCAAGGCUGGGGAAGUACCUUCUGCCCAUCCAAAUUACAAGGAAAACAGAUGCUUUGGGCAAGAGUCCAAGAACAAUCACAGACUUGAGGCAAAUGUAGGGUUACGGGCUGAGAAUUCUUGGUGUAAAGGUUGAAAAACUGACCUUAAACCUUUACGGGACACUGACACAGAGAGGUCGAACCCGCGCCCAGGACGCACAGUCAGUGAGGCGGAGCUGGGAAGGGAACCCUGAGCUCCAGGCUUCGGCGCCUCCACCUACACCUGCCCUACCCGGUGCGUUUUCUCCUCCGUGCUGCCUGCUGGUGGUGCUUUCUGGAACCUCGGCAGUUUCUGCUUUUGCACCUGCAGGGUUUAGUCUCGGGCUGCUUGGGAGGACACCGGGAAUGCAGAAGGCAGAACUACACACCGGGCGAGUGCACCAGCGCCACCAAACCCCUGAAAACCCGAGGCCGCCGCGCGACUCCAUUUCCCAACGCCCCGCGCGGCGGGGGCUUGGGCGUUGCCAAGGAGACCGGCAGUGGCCCCGCCUCCACGCAGGGAAACAGGCGGGAACCACAUGACCCGGAAGGCUGUGCGCAAGCGUCCGCGGCGCGCAUUGGGCCAAUGAGAACCGAAGGGCUGGAGUUCCGGCGGUGGGACUGUCAUUGGUCGCCCGCGUCAGGCCAUACCGGUGGUCUGUGCUGGGGCCCGCGGGUCGGGGCCAGUUUCCAGGAGGUUCCCGGGGCCCGAGGCUGGCGGCGAGGAAGGACCAGAUGGCCUUCGAGGAUGUGGCUGUGUACUUCUCCCAGGAGGAGUGGGGGCUCCUGGACACAGCCCAGAGGGCCCUGUACCGCCGUGUGAUGCUGGACAACUUUGCACUUGUGGCCUCGCUGGGACUCUCCACCUCUCGACCUCGUGUGGUCAUCCAACUUGAGCGUGGCGAGGAGCCCUGGGUUCCCAGCGGAACGGACACGAUCCUGUCCAGGAACACCUACAGGAGGCGCAACCCUGGUUCCUGGAGUGUGGCAGAGGAUGGAGAUGUUUCUGGAGAAUGGCCACGAGCUUUCCCAGAUACCCCACCUGGGAUGACUACUAGCGUCUUCCCAGUUGCCGGUGCCUACCACAGUGUAAAAAGCCUGCAGCGACAACGGGGUGCCUCCCCAUCUCGGGAGAGAAAACCCACAGGGGUGUCGGUGAUCUACUGGGAGAGACUCCUGCUAGGCUCGGGCAGUGGGCAAGCCAGCGUCAGCCUGCGACUGACCUCCCCGCUUAGGCCUCCUGAGGGCGGCCCGCUUAGGGAAAAGACCCUCACAGAGCACCCGGUGCCUGGGAGGAGGCCCAGGACCCCUGAGCGGCAGAAGCCAUGUGCACAGGAGGUCCCUGGGAGAGCCUUCGGGAAUGCCCCGGAUCUGGAGGCCGCCAGCGGUCGAGGGCAUCAUGGAAUGGGUCCGACUUGGCAGGAGCCUCAGAGACUCCUCGGUGGCCAGGAACCUUCCACCUGGGAUGAGCUGGGCGACGCUCUCCCCGCUGGGGAGAAGUCCUUCGAAUGCAGGGCGUGCAGCAAAGUGUUCGUGAAGAGCUCCGACCUCCUCAAGCACCUACGCACCCACACCGGGGAGCGGCCCUACGAGUGCGCCCAGUGCGGCAAGGCCUUCAGCCAGACAUCGCACCUGACGCAGCACCAGCGCAUCCACAGCGGCGAGACGCCCUACGCCUGCCCCGUGUGCGGCAAGGCCUUCCGGCACAGCUCCUCACUGGUGCGGCACCAGCGCAUCCACACGGCCGAGAAGUCCUUCAGCUGCUCCGAGUGCGGCAAGGCCUUCAGCCACGGCUCCAACCUCAGCCAGCACCGCAAGAUCCACGCGGGCGGGCGUCCCUAUGCCUGCGCACAGUGUGGCCGCCGCUUCUGCCGCAACUCGCACCUGAUCCAGCACGAGCGUACGCACACGGGCGAGAAGCCCUUCGUGUGCGCGCUCUGUGGUGCCGCCUUCAGCCAGGGCUCCUCGCUCUUUAAGCACCAGCGCGUGCACACAGGCGAGAAGCCCUUUGCCUGCCCACAGUGCGGCCGCGCCUUUAGCCACAGCUCCAACCUCACCCAGCACCAGCUCCUGCACACGGGCGAGCGGCCCUUCCGCUGUGGGGACUGUGGCAAGGCCUUCGCCAAGGGCGCUGUGCUGCUGAGCCACCGGCGCAUUCACACGGGCGAGAAGCCCUUCGUGUGCACGCAGUGUGGCCGCGCCUUCCGUGAGCGCCCGGCCCUCUUCCACCACCAGAGGAUCCAUACCGGCGAGAAGCCCGUCCGGCGAUCCAGGGCCAGCUUGCACCCCCAGGCCAGGUCUGUUUCCGCGACAUCAUCAGAAGGUGCGCCAGGGAAGGAAACCGAGCCCACUCCCGCCUCGGGCCCAGCCGCAGUCUCGGAGCCAGGGGAGGUCUGAGGUCACAGGUUGCAGCCCUGGCCUUGUGUGAAUCCCGUCCACAGCUAAAGGGCAUAUGUCCUCUGCAGAUCCACAGCAGAGAAAAAGCCCCGUGCUUGCUAGUCAGGGCUUUGGCUGUGAUUUCAUUUGCACUUGGGGACAGGAUUUGCCAGUUCACCCACAGAUCACACCUCCAUCCCCAAAGAGGUAGCACUACAGAAGCCUCAUGGGGAGGAUGUGGUGGCUGAACUCCAGUGGGGCCGAGACUAUUCAGAGCCAGUAGGAGGUGGACAGUCACAGCACUGCACUGUGGUGCUGCUUCGUGUGUUGACAGUGGGUGCUAAGGUGAGAGGGAUGCGGGCAUGGGUUGGGGGGUGGCCUAGAGAAACUUAUGACAGCUGCACACAAACUGGCUGCUGGAUAGAUGCCCACUGAGGGUGUUCUCAACCCACCACUGCCUCUGUUCAUCCAAGGCUUCCUAGAGGCCAGCCUAGCAGACAAGAGACCACAAGGGACUGGGGAUCAGGGUGUGGGCUCUCAGUGUCAGCCACCUCCUCUGGGAAAAGAAAAGGUUUGGGUCCACUGAACAUCAUGUUUGCAGACGCUGACAGGUGGGGUCCUAAUGAGAGCCAACACGUGCUCACUGCCAGCUCCCGUCCUGAGUGCUGGGAAAUUUCUCCUGAAGCCCUGUGAGAUGGCUGCUGUGGCUGGUAUCCUGACUUGGAAGAUGAGGAAACUGACACAAAGGGGAAGAUGGUAUUGAACAUACCCUGACAUGCCAUCAGCGUUUGUCAUCAUCACAGAAGUUCCUGGACUUGGCUUCAACCUGGGUACCCUCAAGAGGCCACAGAAUAGAGAUGCAGCCUGUCUGCGGCCCAGGGAGGGAGUGGGAUACCUGUAUCCUUUUCAGGGCCAGAGGUGGGUUGUGGGAGCCAGGAGCCCGAUGAAAUGGGAUAGAGUGGGGCUGCCUGGAGCAGCAGCUGGGCUAGGAGACGAGGCCUGGUGGAUCCUGGCAAUGGGAGGAUGGUAGGUGGAGAAACCAAGGCAGGGCUGUGUCCCUUCUGCUGCUGAGAUAGAGGGCGUGGCCAUGUGGUGACCCUGCAAGGCUGCCUCCAGACCAGUGGGCACUCCAUCCCAUCUUCCAAAAUCUUGCAGCUAUCCUGCCCUAUACACAAAGAGCAGACUCAGGCCCCACUUACUUGAUAUUGGGGCCAGAUUCUUCCAUCUGUGAGGAGACACAGAGGACCCAGCUCCCCCGGAGCCUGCAAGACUUGGGCCACCAGAAUCCCAGUAGGUCCCUGAACCAUUGUCCCCCACUAAGUCUGCAGAGCUGUGAAAUGCAGACAAUAACCCUUCCCUGCCUGAAAGAGCACUUUUCUGGGGGAGCCCAUGGGAGUCAGGAGCAAAAGCAUCUGUCAAGUAGAUACCCAGAGAGUUACAUGAAAUCAUUUCUGUGCCUUUGAUAGAUGCUUCUUGAACAAAGUUUCUGCCCUGAGCCCGCCUGACCCCUCAGGCUGGGCUCAGUGCCCUACCUUGUCUUCGCACCAGCCUCCUCCCUCCAUCAGGCUCCUUUCCGUAUCUGCUUGUGCCCCUGUUGUCCCUCAGUUUGUCCACCCUCUUCCAAUCUCCCCCUCCCCAAACCCAUGACUGGUCAGUGGCCCCCAGCCUAGGCUCCCGCCUCCACGCAGGUCUUGGCCCCUCAGCUGACCUCCCUCCAACCUCCCUCUCUGCUCUUACUUUUGAGUAGGUAGUGACUGUAAAAGUAUCCCCGGGCUUCUAGGUCAAAAGGUCAGACUGAACACCUGCAUCUCAGUGGGCUCAGAAAUCCACGGAAACCACAGAGGGCAAUAUUUAAAACACAUAAACCCACAAGUAUGAGGAUGGUGAAAGAGGAGUCAGGAGCAAUGGCAUGCCUAAGCUAGACAUGGAUGAGAGCUGUCACUACGUUAGGGAAGGCCAAAUACUGCGUGGCGACUUGGGGAAGUGGAGAGAGUUCCCACCAGGCUGACUCCAGAACUGCAGAAGGCUGAGAACCAGCAGCCCAGAGACGGGAGACCUAUAACAAAGCUGCCUGGGGAACAGCUACUGAAGGAGCCCUUAACGCCCCACUGCUCUCCCCACCUGGUGGAGGGUGAAAGUUUUUUUGUUUUCUGAGACUACGCAUAGUCCCAGAGAAAAGACCUAAGCACCUCAUCCCCAAAAACAACCUGAGGCGGCCUCUGGAAAGCUCCGAGUUGACAGGUCUUACCCACGCACAUGCUCAGUGCUUCAAAUCAGCGAUUAAGGCCAUUGCUUUUCAUCCGGAGCAGGCAGCAGGGAUUCCCAGGUAUCCAAAGAAACCAAAACAGGUGGUGUAAUUUAGGACUGAAUAAUUCAUGGCUCGGCCACUUUAAGUGUGGAAGCAAAACUGACCCCACAGAUACAGAAAACUAACACUGCUUAUUGGGAGACACUAGUGUCACCCUGUCUAGUUCUGCUCCCCAAAUUAAAUAAAAGGGAAAUAAACAGUUGAGCACGUCC